rnacentral:rRNA from 1 species
UACGUAGGGGGCAAGCGUUGUCCGGAUUUAUUGGGCGUAAAGAGCGUGUAGGCGGUCAGGUAGGUCCGUUGUGAAAACUCGAGGCUCAACCUCGAGACGCCGAUGGAAACCAUCUGACUAGAGUCCGGAAGAGGAGAGUGGAAUUCCUGGUGUAGCGGUGAAAUGCGCAGAUAUCAGGAAGAACACCAACGGCGAAGGCAGCUCGCUGGGACGGUACUGACGCUGAGACGCGAAAGCGUGGGGAGCGAACAGG